rfam:Haemonchus placei strain MHpl1 genome assembly, scaffold: HPLM_scaffold0000086
GUCUCGGUAGUGUAAGGGAUAAGAGCGCCGUACCCGGAAAGGGCAAGUACGGGUUCGAGUCCCGUCCGAGACU